rnacentral:rRNA from 1 species
AGAGUUUGAUCCUGGCUCAGGACGAACGCUGGCGGCGUGCCUAAUACAUGCAAGUAGAACGCUGAAGAGAGGAGCUUGCUCUUCUUGGAUGAGUUGCGAACGGGUGAGUAACGCGUAGGUAACCUGCCUUGUAGCGGGGGAUAACUAUUGGAAACGAUAGCUAAUACCGCAUAACAAUGGAUGACCCAUGUCAUUUAUUUGAAAGGGGCAAAUGCUCCACUACAAGAUGGACCUGCGUUGUAUUAGCUAGUAGGUGAGGUAACGGCUCACCUAGGCGACGAUACAUAGCCGACCUGAGAGGGUGAUCGGCCACACUGGGACUGAGACACGGCCCAGACUCCUACGGGAGGCAGCAGUAGGGAAUCUUCGGCAAUGGGGGCAACCCUGACCGAGCAACGCCGCGUGAGUGAAGAAGGUUUUCGGAUCGUAAAGCUCUGUUGUAAGUCAAGAACGAGUGUGAGAGUGGAAAGUUCACACUGUGACGGUAGCUUACCAGAAAGGGACGGCUAACUACGUGCCAGCAGCCGCGGUAAUACGUAGGUCCCGAGCGUUGUCCGGAUUUAUUGGGCGUAAAGCGAGCGCAGGCGGUUUGAUAAGUCUGAAGUUAAAGGCUGUGGCUCAACCAUAGUUCGCUUUGGAAACUGUCAAACUUGAGUGCAGAAGGGGAGAGUGGAAUUCCAUGUGUAGCGGUGAAAUGCGUAGAUAUAUGGAGGAACACCGGUGGCGAAAGCGGCUCUCUGGUCUGUAACUGACGCUGAGGCUCGAAAGCGUGGGGAGCGAACAGGAUUAGAUACCCUGGUAGUCCACGCCGUAAACGAUGAGUGCUAGGUGUUGGAUCCUUUCCGGGAUUCAGUGCCGCAGCUAACGCAUUAAGCACUCCGCCUGGGGAGUACGACCGCAAGGUUGAAACUCAAAGGAAUUGACGGGGGCCCGCACAAGCGGUGGAGCAUGUGGUUUAAUUCGAAGCAACGCGAAGAACCUUACCAGGUCUUGACAUCCCGAUGACCGGUCCGUAACGGGGCCUUCUCUUCGGAGCAUUGGAGACAGGUGGUGCAUGGUUGUCGUCAGCUCGUGUCGUGAGAUGUUGGGUUAAGUCCCGCAACGAGCGCAACCCUUAUCCUCAGUAGCCAGCAGGUCAAGCUGGGCACUCUGUGGAGACUGCCAGGGAUAACCUGGAGGAAGGUGGGGAUGACGUCAAAUCAUCAUGCCCCUUAUGAUCUGGGCUACACACGUGCUACAAUGGCGUGAACAAAAGGAGGCAAAGCCGCGAGGUGGAGCAAAUCCCAAAAAUAACGUCUCAGUUCGGACUGCAGUCUGCAACUCGACUGCACGAAGCUGGAAUCGCUAGUAAUCGCGAAUCAGAAUGUCGCGGUGAAUACGUUCCCGGGUCUUGUACACACCGCCCGUCACACCAUGGGAGUUGGUAACGCCCGAAGUCAGUGACCCAACCUUUUAGGAGGGGGCUGCCGAAGGCGGGACUGAUAACUGGGGUGAAGUCGUAACAAGGUA